GACGAACGCUGGCGGCAGGCCUAACACAUGCAAGUCGAACGCUGUAGCAAUACAGAGUGGCAGACGGGUGAGUAACGCGUGGGAAUCUUCCUAUCGGUACGGAAUAGCUCAGGGAAACUUGGGGUAAUACCGCAUACGCCCUUCGGGGGAAAGAUUUAUCGCCGAUAGAUGAGCCCGCGUCUGAUUAGCUAGUUGGUGAGGUAAUGGCUCACCAAGGCGACGAUCAGUAGCUGGUCUGAGAGGAUGACCAGCCACACUGGGACUGAGACACGGCCCAGACUCCUACGGGAGGCAGCAGUGGGGAAUAUUGGACAAUGGGCGCAAGCCUGAUCCAGCCAUGCCGCGUGAGUGACGAAGGUCUUCGGAUUGUAAAGCUCUUUUGGCGGGGACGAUAAUGACGGUACCCGCAGAAUAAGCCCCGGCUAACUUCGUGCCAGCAGCCGCAGUAA
rnacentral:rRNA from 1 species